rnacentral:sRNA from 1 species
GAAGCUCCGCCACCCGCCGCCAUGAGUAGCUUUGGAGCUGGCAAAACCAAAGAAGUUAUCUUCAGUGUGGAGGAUGGCUCCGUGAAAAUGUUCCUGAGGGGCCGCCCUGUGCCCAUGAUGAUCCCAGACGAGCUGGCACCCACCUACAGCCUGGACACACGCUCGGAGCUGCCUUCUUGCCGGCUCAAGCUGGACUGGGUCUAUGGCUACCGUGGCCGAGACUGCCGGGCCAACCUUUAUUUGCUGCCCACCGGGGAGAUAGUGUACUUUGUGGCCUCCGUAGCCGUGCUAUACAGCGUGGAGGAGCAGAGGCAGCGACACUACCUGGGACACAACGAUGACAUCAAAUGCUUGGCCAUCCACCCAGAUAUGGUCACCAUCGCCACGGGACAGGUGGCGGGCACCACUAAGGAAGGGAAGCCGCUGCCGCCCCACGUGCGCAUCUGGGACUCAGUUUCCCUCUCCACCUUACACGUGCUGGGCUUGGGGGUGUUUGACAGAGCCGUGUGCUGUGUGGGCUUCUCCAAAUCUAAUGGAGGCAACCUGCUGUGUGCAGUGGAUGAAUCCAAUGAUCACAUGCUCUCGGUGUGGGACUGGGCCAAGGAGACCAAGGUGGUGGAUGUCAAGUGCUCCAAUGAGGCUGUAUUGGUGGCCACCUUCCACCCCACGGACCCCACUGUGCUUAUCACCUGCGGGAAAUCUCACAUCUACUUCUGGACCUUGGAGGGGGGCAGCUUGAGCAAGCGGCAAGGCCUCUUUGAGGUGGGAACCGUAUCACACAGGCGGUGCUGGGCGCCCACGACGGCGGCGUGUUUGGGCUCUGCGCCCUGCGGGACGGGACGCUGGUGUCUGGAGGGGGCCGUGAUCGGCGGGUGGUCCUCUGGGGUUCUGACUACAGCAAGCUGCAGGAAGUGGAGGUCCCUGAGGACUUUGGCCCCGUGCGCACCGUGGCAGAGGGCCACGGAGACACACUGUACGUGGGGACCACCCGCAAUUCCAUUCUGCAGGGCUCCGUGCACACAGGCUUCUCACUGCUGGUCCAGGUGCGCCUCUCUCCUCUGCACCCCUCCCCUCUUCCCAGCUCUUU